AAAUCCCUGUUGACUCUUAUUUUGAAUUCGUUAGUGACAUCACAUGUGGGCGGAGUCGUGGACAUGCCCAAACAAGUUCAGUAAAAAGACUGUUCUGCCGCUGCAACGAGAGAGAUCAUAGUUUGUUAGAUGUGUGUGCGUUCUUGACAACAAACCACACACACUCACACAAACUGUAUCAAACCCAAACUGCUGGACUAUUGGAAUAAAUCAAUGCUUUAGAACCGAAGCUGUCUUGAACUUUUGCCUAUAAACCUUCUGAUCGAGGUUGAGGAUUAGAUGUUGGCAAGCCAGUGCAUCCACGCACAUACAUCUUUAACAAAGUGGUCCUUCGAGCCGGAUACAACAUCUCAUCCUCAUGGCAGCAUCACGGGAUUACAUUGAAGAACAGCAGGGUCUCCGUCCUAGCAGGAUCCGACGAAUUCCUGGACAUCUGGAAGACUUUGUACUUACUUCCCAACCACGGCAGCUCGUUCCACCCUCUUUGCAAGAGGAUUUACAGCAUAUGCAUAUUAGUGAGACUAUCUCUGCUACCGAUGUGGACUAUAGAACUUCUACUCCAGAAAGGCAUUGGACUGAGCAGUAUGCUGAGACUACAAGGUUACGUAGAGUAGAGGAGUGUGUUUGGAAUGUACAAGAGCAAAUCAGGGAACUACAGAGCACAUUACAAAUGUCUCUCGAGCAAGGCAAAGGUUCACCACGCAUGCAUCAGGACUACUACCAUGCCGCAGGUGCUGGACAUCAAAGGUCAGUCCCUCACUUAAGCAGUCAACGGCAGUCCAUCCAGCAACGUAGUGCCAGCUUGCCUCUUCUCUAUGCAGACACAAGACCAGGUUCACAAAGCCCUGAUAACAUUGAAGUAUUAAAGUACUCUUCUCAAAUGAUACCUGCACACUCAUCAACCACAGCAUUACCUCAACUACAGAGUCAGCCUCCAGUCCAGCUGCCACAGGGGUUAUUACCUCAAGCUCAACAGCCCUUGUCUCGUCCAGCAUCUGUCCCUGUUACUGAACGUCAUGUAGCACGACAUGAGCCGCGCCCAGGGUCUGCUCCAGCAGGUAUGAUACAUCAGCCAUACAUUUAUCAACAGACUGGUGAUCAUCAGCAGACAUAUCAGCCACAAGUCCCAUCCUUUGCACAACAACGUGUACCUCCAAUGACAUCAUCUACGUCUACAGUGUACCGAACUGUACCUAGCAAACCGCCAAUUUAUGCACCUUUGAUUACACCUGUGCAGAGCAACACUGUGAAUCCCAAUUACGUCCAACCACAGUUCACACAGUCAUUCCCAGCAUUUGCUCUAGCACAGCCUCUGAUGUCUCAGUACUCGGAACCUCCCCCACUGCAAUCUGUAAAUUAUCCAGAUCCAUACACACAGGGUUAUAGACCUACCAGACUCCUAGAUGCAAUACCUCAGCCACAGUCAUAUUCUGCACCAUUCCCUUCCACUGUACAGCCAGUACAAGUUCCAAGCAUGGUGGAGAUGGCUAUCGCUUCCUCUUAUGGAAUACCUAAGCCUAAGCUCAUUCAUUUCACCACUGGGAAGGAGAGUGAUUUUGCUCUGUUAAAAAAGGGACUUGAUGGCAUCCUGGGCCCACAUCUUCAUUUAACGGAGGACUAUAAAUUCCAAGUGUUACUUGAUCAUCUCAAAUUACCAGCUGCCUUUCAGAUAGCUAAGAGAUACAUGUAUGACCCCAUGCCUUAUACAAGAGCCAUGCAAGCUUUGCAACAGCGCUAUGGACAGCCCCGACAACUGGUACAGGGAGAAAUCGGCAACAUUCUCCGCACACCUCCACUGAAACCAGGAGAUGCUCAAGGAUUUGAGGACUUUGCAUUAUCAGUUAGUACUCUUGUUGGCCUCCUUAAUACAUUGGAGGGGUCUUCCAAGACAGAGCUUAUGUGUGGUUCCCAUGUUGACAGAUUGCUCACUAAGCUUCCAUCCUCUCAUAGAGAUAGCUUUGUUGAAUACUGUAUGACCAAGGGCAUUAUCCAGAAUGGGACUGAUAGAACCUACACUCUUCCUGAGUUUGCAGAGUGGCUUGAGAGAAAAUCACAAGCGCUUCAGAUAUCAAGGAGAGCAGCUGAUCUCUACAGUUCAGAUAAACCUCUCUCUGAGAAUAGAGAACAGAAAACCCUGAAGCCACCAAAGAUACAAUCCACAAUCAACUAUGGCAAAGAUCAUGCGACAGAAAAGCCCUCUGCCUCAUCUACCUCGUCUUUCCAAACAAAGAAAGAGCAGACAAAAGUCAAGAAACGGGAAAGCUUUAAGCCGUACUGCCCCUUCUGCAAAUGUCAACAGCAUUACCUCAACUCUUGUCCUGAAUUUGGUAAACUGAAUGUUGCACAAGUAACAGCAUGGAUAAAGGACAACAACAGAUGCUGGAGAUGUGGUAGAGGUCAUGAGCCUGCAAACUGCACCUUGAAAAAGCCAUGUUCCAAUUGUGGUGAACAACACUUGUCAAUUCUUCAUGAAACCGCAUCCAACAUCAACAAGAGCAUCCUUACUGUGAAUACAGUACCCCGCACGGUUUACCUUGAUCAAGUAACUCACUCAGGUAGAGUUAUGUUGAAAGUUGUUCAGGUCAGACUCCAUAGCAAAGGGAGAACAUUGGACACAUUUGCCAUUCUAGAUGAUGGGUCUGAAAGGACCAUAAUUCUCCCCACAGCAGUGCAUUACCUUGAUCUGGAGAAGACAGAUGAAUCACUUGCCCUCAGGACAAUUAGACAAGAGGUAGUAGAGAUCCAGGGUGCAUCAGUCUCAUUUGAAGUGUCUGCAUCUCUGAAUCCGAACAUUCGUCACAAGAUACACACUGCCUUUACCGCACAAGAGCUGAACAUUGCCAAACAAUCCUGCCCUGUGGACAUUUUAAAGCACAAGUUUGUACAUCUGAGGGACGUUCCCAUUAUUCCUUUCAAAGAGGUACAGCCCAUGCUCCUUAUCGGUUCUGAUUACCCUCAACUCAUCACACCGAUAGCUCCAGUACUUAUGGGCCCAUUGGGUAGUCCUGUUGGAGUUAGUACAAGUUUGGGCUGGGCCAUUCAGGGUCCAACUACAUUCCUUGACCAGCCAUUGGAGACUACUUGUCUGAACAUCUCGCUGUUCCACUCUCCCACACAAGAUCUGUCUCAUCAUGUUGAAAAGUUAUGGCAAGUAGACAUACUUCCCUUUCAGCCUGUGAAAGACAUGACACGAUCCAAGCAGGACAGAGAUGCUCUUCAAAUGCUGGAAGCUAAAACGAAGAGAGUAGAAGUGGAUGGAGUCUCUCGCUAUGCAACUCCUCUUCUUCGCAAAGGGAAUGCAAAAGUCUUGCAUGCUGGAACAGAAUCAGUCAUGGCUCUUCUAAGGGCCACUGAGCGCCGUUUAAACCGAAAUUCAGAGCUUGCAGAAGUCUACAAGAAAGAAAUACACAAACUGGAGCAGGCAGGGUAUGCAACAAAACUCACACCUGAAGAGGCUAUGGGUACAGAUGAGUCAUGGUUUAUUCCCCACCAUCUUGUGCAUCACAACAACAAAGCCAGGGUUGUGUUCAACUGUUCUUAUCAGUUCCACCAAGCUUCACUGAAUGAUCAGUUACUCCCAGGACCUACAUUGGGUCCAUCAUUGCUGGGAGUUCUUCUCAGAUUCAGACAAUAUCCUGUGGCCAUCAGUGGGGACAUUCGUUCAAUGUUUCACCAAGUGCGCCUCCUUCCAGAAGAUCAGCCUUUGUUACGUUUCUUGUGGAGAGAUCUGGAAAAGGAGAGAACGCCUGACAUCUAUGAGUGGCGUGUUCUUCCUUUUGGGACCACAUGCAGUCCAUGCUGUGCCAUCUACGCCCUCCAGCGUCAUGUCAUAGACCAUCGCGAAGGCAAUGAAGACGUGGUAGACUCAGUAUUGAAAUCCUUCUAUGUGGAUAACUGUUUGCAGUCUCUUUCCACAACUGAUGAGGCCAAACAGCUCAUAGACAAGAUGAGAGCUUUACUAUCUGCUGGGGGAUUUGAAAUAAGACAAUGGGCCAGUAACUACCCAGAGGUAAUUGCUCAUCUACCAACUGAAGCAAGGUCGGAAAGCUGUGAGCUAUGGCUGACUGUAAACAAGACAGACCCACAAGAGUCUACACUCGGGCUCUCUUGGCACUGCCCCUCUGACAAGCUUGGCUAUCGAAAUCGCCCACUAUCCACAGAGGAGCCCACUAUGCGCAAUAUUUAUAGACUGCUAGCCUCUCAAUAUGACCCUCUUGGUUAUAUUUUGCCUUAUACCACCCGGGCCAAAAUCUUUGUUCAAGCUCUGUGGAUAAACAAAAGAGGUUGGGAUGACUGCAUUGAAACGGAGAUGCUUGCCAAAUGGCAAGAGUGGACCAAUGAACUGCAGUAUCUACCCAUGGUAGGCAUGCCAAGGUGCUAUUUCCCAGUCUGUCCAGAACCUGACAAUGACAAGAUCGAGUUGCAUGUGUUCUGCGAUGCUUCUGAGAGGGCUUACGGUUCGGUGGCAUAUCUGCGUCUCCAAGACAAGGAGGGCAGGAUUCAUACCUCAUUUGCUAUGGCUAGAUCCCGUGUUGCACCCAAAAAGCAACUAUCAAUGCCCCGACUGGAACUGUGUGGUGCCCUUACCGGAGCACAACUGGCUAAACUCCUCUUAACAGAAAUUACUCUACCCAUCCAUAACACUAUUCUCUGGACAGACUCCACUACAGUUCUCACUUGGAUCAAAUCUGAAUCCUGUCACUACAAGGUGUUUGUUGGCACACGGAUUGCCGAAAUACAGGAAUUGACCAGUGCAGAGAACUGGAGAUAUGUGGAAUCAGAUCUAAACCCUGCUGAUGAUAUUACAAGAGGGAAAUCUCUCUAUGAACUCUCUCAGGUAUGUCAGUGGAACCAGGGCCCUUACUUCCUCCAGCAGUCACCAGAAAACUGGCCCACACCACCUACCUUAUCCUCCACUGAUGAGAAUGAGCUAAGAAAGUCAUUUUUCUGUGCUCAUGUUGCUGUUCUUCACUCCUCCCUACCAGAUCCAGAGCAGCACCCAACAUGGCCAGACUUGGUUCAAGCUACCUACCGGUCUGCACAUGGGGCCUUAGCACCCUCAAUGUCAGCCUCACAACGUGUUGAUACUGAACUGCUUCUUCUCAGACAAGCGCAGCAGGAUAGUUUUCCUGAUGAAGUCCAUGCACUUCAGAAUGGCAAGGCCAUACGUGCUAGCAGUAGGUUAAGUACUUUGUCACCUGAAUAUGAUCAAACCUUGGGAGUAAUUCGGGUAGGAGGUCGCCUUCGCAAAGCUGAGAAACUUGAUGUUGAAACCUUGCAUCCUAUUGUAUUAGCACCUGAUCACCCCAUCACUAAACUCAUAAUACAAGAUUACGACAACAGACUUCUUCAUCCUGGUCCUGAGCGUGUCUUCGCAGAGUUGCGAAGAACUUACUGGAUUAUCCGAGGCAGACAAGCCAUAAAGAAAUAUCAACACCAGUGCAAAGAAUGCAGGAAAUGGCGCAGUAAUCCAGUCAACCCUAAAAUGGCAGAUCUCCCUGCUGCUCGUCUUCGCUUAUACCAGCCUCCCUUCUGGUCAACUGGAGUCGAUUGCUUCGGACCAUUUACAGUAAAGAUAGGCAGAAGACAUGAGAAACGAUGGGGAAUCGUUUUCAAGUGUCUCACCACAAGGUGUAUCCACUUAGACCUCCUGCAUAAUAUGGAUACUGACUCCUUUCUCAUGGCUUUACGCCGCUUCGUUGCACGACGAGGCAAACCCUUUGAGUUAAUAUCCGACCAAGGUACAAAUUUCAGAGGUGGGAAUCGAGAACUCCAAGAAACCUUCUCUGCACUUGAGCCAGAAAUCAAAGAAAAACUGAGUGAACAGAGUAUUUCCUUUCAGUUUAAUCCUCCACAUGCACCUUAUUUUGGUGGAGCCUGGGAGCGUGAAAUAUGCUCUAUUAAAUCCUGUCUUCAAGUAGUACUUAAGGAUCAAGUUGUGUCAGAGGAAGUACUGUCUACUGUUCUGGUAGAAGUGGAGGGAAUACUAAAUUCUAAACCACUUGGGUAUGUAUCAUCAGAAAUAUCAGAUUUGGACCCAAUUACUCCAAAUCUCUUGCUGAUGGGGCGGCGGGAUGCCUCUCUCCCUCAAGUGGUUUAUGGCACAAGAGAAUUGCUCGGAAAGAGAAAGUGGCGACAUAGCCAAGUCAUAGCUGACCAGUUCUGGAAACAGUUCAUUCAGAACUACUUGCCAAGUCUACAACCCCGUGCUAAAUGGCAAAAAUCUACACCAAAUCUAUUGGUGGGACAAGUAGUUAUGGUUGUGGACUCUCAACUGCCACGAGCCCUCUGGCCAGUAGGCAGAGUAAGCAAAGUUGUUCCCAGCAGCGACGGAACAAUUAGAACGGCUGAUGUAACUAUUGGGAACCGUGUCUACUGUCGCCCUGUUUCUAAGCUAAUUGUUCUACCAGAGAUGCCCACUAAGACCAAUGGUACCUAACUUCAGAGAACAGGGAUCUUUAUUUAAUUUCUAAUUUGCUGUACAAAUUAGGGGGCGGCUGUAUAAAAUCCCUGUUGACUCUUAUUUUGAAUUCGUUAGUGACAUCACAUGUGGGCGGAGUCGUGGACAUGCCCAAACAAGUUCAGUAAAGACUGUUCUGCCGCUGCAACGAGAGAGAUCAUAGUUUGUUAGAUGUGUGUGCGUUCUUGACAACGAACUGCAAGAGCUAGGAGGACUGAAAAACAUCUCUGUGGAGCUUCCUGAUUGGCCAGUUAGUGAUGACACGGUGCUUCACUUGGCAACUGCUGAAGCUCUAGCAACAGGAAAAGCGGGUGAGGAGCUACUGCAUGAGGUUGCCUUUAGGUAUGUGGAGGGAAUGAAGGACAUGGAAGGGAGGAAGCCAGGACCAUCAAGCAUUCUAGCAGCUCUGGAGAAAACAGUGAUGUCAUUGUCCAGCUCAGCUCAGUUUACAUACAAUGCUGUCAAUGCGGGCAGAUUAAAAACAUUGUUGAAUAUCAAGUGUCCCCAACUAAGCAAGCCAGAGGCAACAGCGGCAAGUAACCCAAACUCCUUCAGGUGACAAAAAUGGAGAAAAAACCUCUGAAUCCAGGCUCAGUCGGGGGCAGUUCUCCUCUGGCCAACAAAUGAACAGUGCAUGAUUAUGAUUCAGGCAGUAUUACAGGUCAUAAGUCAGACUGGGAUCGGAACAGUCAAAAUAUAUAAUCCAGUUCCAUCUGGUUGAAGAUCGGAUUCAUCACGCCGGUAUGGAAACGGUUUUGUUGGGGAUCUGUGCUACUGGCUGUCGUGGUGAUGACGAUGACACAACAGGGAUGUGUUGUGCUUGUGUUUAGGCGCAGGUCCUCCAUCUGAUCUGGAUAAGGCCCGGAUCCAGCUGACUACAGUAAACCUCGGGAUAAACAGAGAGAUUAAUAUUAGCGUAGAUGCCAUUCUUCUUAUGAUCAACAAGUACAUUGUACAUUUUAUACAGCCUAACAAUCCUUUAACAGAUGUGAAAAUAUAAAUUGAUAAUGUGUUAUGUGUAUGCCAGGUUAAAGAGAUGUGUUUUUAGUCUAGAAUUAAAUUGACAGUGUAGCAUCUGGACCAGGCACACACAAUUAUUCAUUUUAUUUAAUGAAUAAUCCAGAAACUCUCCCUCACAAGUUCUGCUAACCCAUCCCCCACAACUGCAACACACAGGCAGAAUAGGUGUCCUGUUCCUGUUUUAUUGCCGUCAGGAAUGUGCAGAGACUUGUGACUCUGACUUAAUUCUUUCUGAAGAAGGACAAAUAAACCCUUUCAAUCCUAUAUAUAUUCUAUAUAUAACCAUGUGAGAAAUGUAUAAAUGUGUAUCCAAUUUUCCCCUCUCAUGAUUUUCCUUUUACAGGGUUUGGCCUAUGUAUUAAUUCUUUCUUUUGAACUCCUGUGUAUUAAUGUUUCAGAGUUGCAUACUACUGUAUGGUUAACUAAAAUCACAUGGGUAGCAUGUUUGGUAUCAAUGGACUCCAACUUUCAUUUCCCAUUUGGUAAUUUAUGUUACAUGCUGCUAACUCUGUGGCACAUUAGUAUUACAAGAAUCUUUAAUAGUUUCUUAUCCAUCUGUAACCAAUUCAGUUACAUGCACACGAUCUGCUUAAGACAAAGAUUGUAAACUUUCCUGUCGGAAUCUCAAGUAUGAUUGGCCACUGACUGAGAGGAGGAAUGGCCAGCACCGGACCUUAAAAGCCAGCGCACAAUGCUCCUCCCUCUCUCUCUUGCUUCGACGGACUGACGCCCUGCAGGGCGACCUCUUCGGGUCAAGGCCUGUGCGCCUGUUCUGCACCCCCAGCCAUGUGCUUGACUAGGAGAGAAAGAACUCUUUCCUACUACAAGAGUCAAAUUAACAGCUUAAGUUGUUUCAUAUUUCUUCCUCCAACGCAGAAGAUAUUGAUUAUGACUUUGGACCAAACCAUCAAGGAUUUCUCCUUAGCCUGCAGAUCUGAUGAUCCUCAACAGCUAAAGGCAUUUUGCAAGUAUUGUACAUUUGAACACUAAACAGCAAUUUAGUAUUAAUUUGUGAACCAACUUUGUUAGCAAAGUUGCUUUAUUACUGAGAAAACUGAUGGUCUUUUCCAGAUUGUUUUUUACUUUUCCCCAUAGCUCCAUUUCCUGUCCCACUUCUGGUUCAACUCUAUCAUUGCUCAUUUUUACCUAUGUAUGUGU